rnacentral:rRNA from 1 species
GGGGAAUCUUGCGCAAUGCGCGAAAGCGUGACGCAGCAACGCCGCGUGCGGGAAGACGGCCUUCGGGUUGUAAACCGCUUUCAGUUGGGACGAAGGUUCAUCCGUUAAUAGCGGAUUGGACUGACGGUACCUUCACAAGAAGCCCCGGAUAACUACGUGCCAGCAGCCGCGGUAAUACGUAGGGGGCAAGCGUUGUCCGGAAUCAUUGGGCGUAAAGCGCGUGUAGGCGGCUUGUUAAGUCCGCUCUGAAAGUCCAGGGCUCAACCCUGGAAUGCGGGUGGAUACUGGCAAGCUCGAGUCCGGAAGAGGCGAGUGGAAUUCCUGGUGUAGCGGUGAAAUGCGCAGAUAUCAGGAGGAACACCAAUGGCGAAGGCAGCUCGCUGGGACGGUACUGACGCUGAGACGCGAAAGCGUGGGGAGCAAA